CCUACGGGUGGCAGCAGUGGGGAAUAUUGCGCAAUGGGCGAAAGCCUGACGCCGCGACGCCGCGUGAGGGAUGAAGGUCUUCGGAUCGUAAACCUCUGUCAGCAGGGAAGAACGGUCACUGUGCUAAUCAGCAGUGAAUUGACGGUACCUGCAAAGGAAGCACCGGCUAACUCCGUGCCAGCAGCCGCGGUAAUAAGGAGGGUGCGCGCGUUAAUCGGAAUUACUGGGCGUAAAGCGCUCGUAGGCGGUAUGUCAAGUCAAGGGGGAAAUCCCCGCGCUCAACGUGGGAACGGCCGUUGAAACUGGCAGACUGGAGUGUGUGAGAGGAUGGUGGAAUUCCAGGUGUAGGAGUGAAAUGCGUAGAUAUCUGGAAGAACAUCAGUGGCGAAGGCGACUAUCUGGCACAUAACUGACGCUGAGGAGCGAAAGUGUGGGUAGCAAACAGGAUUAGAUACCCGAGUAGUC
rnacentral:rRNA from 1 species